rnacentral:lncRNA from 1 species
UUUAAUCUUUAAAGUAUAAAUUUUUUGUCAUUAAACUACUAAAUAAAUAAAUAAAAGUUGUAGUGACCACUUGUAAGAGGUAGCAAGGUUUCGAAACUUGUACCGAACAACCUUUUUUCAGAAGAGAGGUUUAUCUAAUAUGUCAAUUGCUAAACACAGUGAAAUAAAUGUCAAUAUUUCCAUGUCCAACUCUAAAAAAAACAAAAUCAAGAAUAAAGUUAACAGAUAUGACAAUAUGACUCUAUCAAAAUACACUGUACCAAACCCUACUCCAAAGAACGAUCCAACAGACAACAAAUAGAUGUUUUACAUAUCCAAUCUUUUAUAAUAAAUAUUGAUCGACAAUGUUUUGGUUUGCAUGCCAUCCCUUUAUUCUUCUUUAU